rnacentral:misc_RNA from 1 species
GAAAAAGUUAAAGAUAAUCUAAUAAGCACUUGGACGAUAUUAAAAGAUUAUAAUGAUGAAUUCGAAGAGCUCGCUGGCCAAGCAUGGUUAAUAUUUCAAAAGAAACUUCAUCUUCUUGAUGACUUCGUGUCAAAAUGGAACGGGCUUCUGGAACCGUAUACUACAGUCACAUUGUUCAUAAAGCAAGAUUUGGAAAACUAUUUUGAACUCACAACAGCGUUAAAAUACUUACGCGGGACUGAUUUUACCGAUAAUCAUUGGCGGGAAAUAUUUAAUCUCCUUGAAAUAGAAUAUGUCAAGCCUGAAACGUUAAUAUUAAAAGAUUUAUUGAACGUUGCGCAGAAUAUUAAGAAACGUAUGAAGGAAUUACAGAAAAUUAGUGCUACGGCGUCAAGUGAAGCGAAUGUCCGUAGCGCGAUCAACGAGCUGGAGCUGUGGUUCGCGGGCGCGCGCCUGCUACUGCUUGCGAGGGGGAACGUCCACAUCGUCUC